AACAGCGGCUUUGUAACCUUUGUUACCAUAAAAUAACAAAUCUAAAAACUAUUUUUCGGAGGAAGAAAGUCGGUGUCUGUCGCCUCUAGGAUCUAACAACCAAUUCUCACACACGCAUCCCCGUCUCUUUCAUCUCCCCCAGAAUUCCUUCACCUAUCAAGCUUUUUGGGUCACAAGUUUAUAUCAUUUAUAUAUAACAUCUCUUGUUGUCGAUAUCCAAUUCUUCUUCUUUUCUUCCUGUUGAUUUGUUGUUGUCGGGAGCUUUCUGUGAUUGUAAAGUUUGAAAAUUUAUCAUUAAUCUGAUAGAUUACGUUUGAUGGUUCUUUUGGGAGCUGGAUUGUUGUGAGAGCGAUUCCUGUUAAUGAAGAAGGAUGGGAUUGGAAUCGGUUGGGGUUUGAGUUCGUUGAAUUGGGGGAGAAGCUCGACGCCCAAUUCAACAAUCGGGUUGGCGGGUUGGUCCGAUCGGUAAUUGGUUGAUUGAAUCGUUUUUUUGUAGCUUUGUCUUUGUUGUGUGCGAAGAAGGUUAUAGUGGAAUCAAUGUUGGAGGCAUUGGUUGAGGUCAAUUUCUGGGUCGGUGCUUGAUUUUGGGACUUCUGGUCUGUGCCAUGGAUGAGGUGGGCCGUGUCAAUGACACAAAAGAAUCGGGAGGCUGUGCUACUGAGGAAUUACCAUCGUCAUCGGCGGCGGCGGCGGCUCUGGGCUUUGUUUGGAGGCCGAGUCAGCGCGUUUUUAGUCCUUAUGAAACUGUGAACAAGGCACAAACUUUGCGCGUUGUUGUACGAAAACCUCUGGUGGCAAGACUAACCAAGGAAAUAGUUGAGACGUACCAAAUAUGCAAUCCUCAGUUUAAGUAUUCAGAGGAACUAAAUCCUAAGAGAUAUUUGACCAGCCCAUCCACUGGAGUCCAAAAUGAUGGCUGUGAUAAUGUGAACUCUGAUCUUAUCCUGACUGUGAACUUUGUCUUGGUCAAUUCAGAAACACAGCGAAGAUAUAUUGUCAAAGAUGUUCUUGGCCACGGGACAUUUGGGCAGGUUGCUAAAUGCUGGGUUGCAGAGACUGACAGCUUUGUUGCUGUGAAGAUCAUAAAAAAUAAACCUGCUUACUAUCAGCAGGCAUGGGUUGAAGUAUCCAUAUUGACAACGUUGAAUAAGAAGUAUGAUCCUGAGGACAAGCAUCAUAUUGUUCGUAUUUUUGAUUCCUUUGUACACCAACGUCAUUUGUGCAUCUGCUUUGAACUGCUUGAAACCAAUCUGUAUGAGCUUAUAAAAAUAAAUCACUUUAGGGGAUUAUCCUUGAGCAUUGUCCAAAUGUUCUCUAAACAGAUUUUAUGUGGACUGGCUCUGUUAAAGGAAGCUGGGAUAAUUCAUUGUGAUCUGAAGCCAGAAAACAUCCUUUUGUGCACAAGUGUGAAGCCAGCAGAAAUUAAAAUUAUUGACUUUGGAUCAGCAUGCAUGGAAGAUCACACCGUUUACUCCUACAUUCAGAGUCGUUACUACAGAUCUCCUGAAGUUCUUCUUGGGUAUCAAUAUACUACAACUAUCGAUAUGUGGUCGUUUGGCUGCAUUGUUGCUGAAUUGUUUCUAGGCUUGCCAUUAUUUCCUGGAGCUUCAGAAUUCGAUCUCCUUAAUCGAAUGAUUGAAAUACUUGGAGGUCAACCCCCAGAUUAUGUAUUAAUGGAGGCAAAAAACACAAGUAAGUUUUUUAAGCGCAUUGGAAGUGUCCACAAUAUAGAGAAUGGUGAAGUUUCGACAAAUGGCAGAAGUGCUUACAAAGUGUUAACAGAAGAAGAAUAUGAAGCUAGAGAGAAGAAAAAGCCAGUGAUUGGGAAAGAGUAUUUCAAACAUAUGAAUCUGGAAGCAAUUGUCAGAAACUACCCUUAUAGAAAGAACUUGCCUCAGGAAGAUAUUAUAAAAGAAGGGCAAAUACGACUAGCUUUGAUCGAUUUCUUGAGAGGACUUGUUGAGUUUGAUCCUGCAAAACGGUGGUCGCCUUUUCAGGCUUCAAAACACCCUUUUGUCACAGGGGAACCUUUCACAUGCCCUUACAAGCCUCCCCAAGAGACUCCCCGUCUGCCUGUUGCUCAAAAUAUCAUGGUGGACCACCACCCAGGUGGAGGACAUUGGUUUGCUGCUGGUCUCUCUCCUAAUAUUCCAGGAAGGAAUAGAGUUGCUCUUCAUAACAGUCCACACUUCCCGAUAGUGCCAUUUCAACAUGCCAACAGUUAUGGCAGUGUUGGAAGUUAUGGUAGCUAUAAUGAUAGUACAGGGCUUGGAAGCAGCUAUGGAAGCUAUGGAGAUAGUAGUAAUGUGUUUCCAUAUUAUUCGCCUGUCGGUCCAUCUGGGAUGAACAUGCAUCCACAGGGCAAUGUCUCAAUGCUGGGAAGUAGUCCUGAUGCGAGAAGAAGGGUUAUGCAAUACCCACAUGGAAGUGGACUUGGUAUAAGUCCCUCGGCUGGCAAUUUUAUAUCACUGCCUCUUGGCACUAGCCCCUCACAAUUUACUCCACCAAGUUCCUAUAGUCAAGUUUCUGCUGGCUCUCCCGGACAUUAUGGUCCAACCUCUCCAGCAAGAGGCAGUCAUGGAUCGCCUUUAGGAAAGAUGACUGCAGUUAGCCAGUUUAAUAGAAGAAAAAGUUGGGGAUAUUCCGGAAAUUCUCAAUCUCAAGAGAGCCUGUCAUGUUCUCAUUGGCAAGGGCAAUUUACUGAUGGCUCUAGUUCUUCACAAACUGAAGGAAAUUCUCAGGCACUUCAUGGUUCUCCAUCGCAUCUGCAAUCAAGUUCUAAUGCUGCAAGCUGGAAGCAGCAUCGUGGAGGUGCCAGAAUCUCUGCUGGUUACUCUCCCUUUCAGAGCAUGCCGGGUUCCUCUACACUUGGUUCUAAUAUGCAACUGGCACAAACUGCUGGAUCAGCUUCUGAAAAGCCAGAGGUUGGCCUCUCACUGCCUGAUCCUGGAGAUUGGGAUCCCAACUAUAGUGAUGAACUUCUUCUACAAGAGGACGGUUUGGAUAUAAGUGCCGUGACAACCAACUUCAGCAAAAAUGUGCAUCUUGGACCUGCGGAACCAUUGCUUGGGGAUGGAAGAUUCAACCAUGUCUUGAGUACAAUUUCAAAUUUCUCUGUACAGAGGCAAAAUGGACCUGGUCAAGCAUUUUCACAUAUGGAGGUGGGUAGCCCUCCUUCAGCUCAUGAUCCACUUCACGGAUAUGUCCGCCCCAUGUCAAAUCCUUCCCACUUUGUGCCUAAUAUCUCACAAAAUUCUCCUAGUCGUUUGGGACAGCAACCUGUUCAGCGGUUCGGUUAUGGACGACCACCCAGUAUUCGGGUUGGUGAUUCCAAUCAUGUGAUGGUUCAGCCCCCCUUCUCCAGCUUUAAUUCUGGGGGUGUGCGUUCUCCUGGAAAUAGCUCAUUCAGCAAUGGCAUGCCAUGGGGUCGUAGAGGCAAUCAUCCUAUCACAAACAUGCCACCGACUUCCCGUGGGAGAAAAGACUAUGGAAGGAUUGCCUAAUGUUGAAUCAGCUUAUUCUUUUUACGAUGAGAGAUCUGGCUUGUGAGAUAGCUGCUGAAGAAGAAUUGCAACAGGUGUAAGUUGAUCUAGGAAUAGCCAGUGGGUCUCGUGUUUUCUCUUUGUUUAGAGAGGGUGGAAUUGUAAAGAGACAUUUUGCUAAAAGAAGUUAUUUUUCGUAUUUAAUUACAACAUAUUUUGUUGACAAGCCAAAUGAUUCCAAAUAUUUGGAGCCACCGGCUAAAUCUUUCAGAACUUGACUGGAAACAACAACAGAUGCCCCCCCCCCCCCCCCUUUCUCUCUCCAAAAAAAAAAAAAAAAGUUGUUGUUUUGUAUGCUCUAUAUGAUGAUGAUUAUAUAGAGAACUGACCGGUUACUGGUGUUGUAUUUGUUUGUAAUAUCUUUAACAAAUGAUUCUGUACAUAAUAUUAGGUUUUGAAGCUUUUCAGAGCCCCCUUA